rnacentral:rRNA from 1 species
UGGGGAAUAUUGCACAAUGGGGGAAACCCUGAUGCAGCAACGCCGCGUGAGUGAUGACGGCCUUCGGGUUGUAAAGCUCUGUCUUCAGGGGCGAUAAUGACGGUACCUGAGGAGGAAGCCACGGCUAACUACGUGCCAGCAGCCGCGGUAAUACGUAGGUGGCAAGCGUUGUCCGGAUUUACUGGGCGUAAAGGGAGCGUAGGCGGACUUUUAAGUGAGAUGUGAAAUACCCGGGCUCAACCUGGGUGCUGCAUUUCAAACUGGAAGUCUAGAGUGCAGGAGAGGAGAGUGGAAUUCCUAGUGUAGCGGUGAAAUGCGUAGAGAUUAGGAAGAACACCAGUGGCGAAGGCGACUCUCUGGACUGUAACCGACGCUGAGGCUCGAAAGCGUGGGGAGCAAACA